rnacentral:misc_RNA from 1 species
AGUGGGGCAUUUCCACCUUCAAAGCUAGAGCCUCAAUGAGCAUCAUUGCAUCCGAAUUUUACAGUUACAGUUUGAUAAUGUUUUAAAAUCACUGCAAUAUGUGUUCCUAUUUGUCUUAGUCUUGUAUGCAGCUUGUAAUGAGCCAGAUCUGUAGUUGAAUUGAAUUCUUUGCUUGUGCAUAUUGAGCUGAAAUGUUGUAUCCAAGGUUGAUAGACGACAAUGAAGAAUAAAUAGAAAGGAUUAGCAAUGUCACAGAAAUUUCACAUUCAUUUAGUUGUUUGUAUAUCCUCUUUGAAUUUGCUAUUACUGAUGAGUACAUUUUCUUUCUUCUUUUUCCCCUGUUUUCACAAGUCUUCUGAAAUUUCCCCAAUUUAUUUCACUUCGUAACUUUCUGUCAAGAUAUUUAAAGGUCAGCUUUUUGAACAUAAUUUUUAUACAAACCA